rnacentral:rRNA from 1 species
AGCGAACGCUGGCGGCAGGCCUAACACAUGCAAGUCGAACGAAGUCUUCGGACUUAGUGGCGGACGGGUGAGUAACACGUGGGAACGUGCCUUUAGGUUCGGAAUAACUCAGGGAAACUUGUGCUAAUACCGAAUGUGCCCUUCGGGGGAAAGAUUUAUCGCCUUUAGAGCGGCCCGCGUCUGAUUAGCUAGUUGGUGAGGUAAAGGCUCACCAAGGCGACGAUCAGUAGCUGGUCUGAGAGGAUGAUCAGCCACAUUGGGGCUGAGACACGGCCCAAACUCCUACGGGAGGCAGCAGUGGGGAAUCUUGCGCAAUGGGCGAAAGCCUGACGCAGCCAUGCCGCGUGAAUGAUGAAGGUCUUAGGAUUGUAAAAUUCUUUCACCGGGGACGAUAAUGACGGUACCCGGAGAAGAAGCCCCGGCUAACUUCGUGCCAGCCGCCGCCGUAAAAC